CGAAGGGGGCUAGCGUUGCUCGGAAUUACUGGGCGUAAAGGGAGCGUAGGCGGAUAGUUUAGUCAGAGGUGAAAGCCCAGGGCUCAACCUUGGAAUUGCCUUUGAUACUGGCUAUCUUGAGUACGGAAGAGGUAUGUGGAACUCCGAGUGUAGAGGUGAAAUUCGUAGAUAUUCGGAAGAACACCAGUGGCGAAGGCGACAUACUGGUCCGUUACUGACGCUGAGGCUCGAAAGCGUGGGGAGCAAACAGGAUUAGAUACCCUGGUAGUCCACGCCGUAAACGAUGAGUGCUAGUUGUCGGCAUGCAUGCAUGUCGGUGACGCAGCUAACGCAUUAAGCACUCCGCCUGGGGAGUACGGUCGCAAGAUUA
rnacentral:rRNA from 1 species